rnacentral:rRNA from 1 species
AUUGAACGCUGGCGGCAGGCCUAACACAUGCAAGUCGAGCGGAUGAAGGGAGCUUGCUCCUGGAUUCAGCGGCGGACGGGUGAGUAAUGCCUAGGAAUCUGCCUGGUAGUGGGGGAUAACGUCCGGAAACGGGCGCUAAUACCGCAUACGUCCUGAGGGAGAAAGUGGGGGAUCUUCGGAUCUCACGCUAUCAGAUGAGCCUAGGUCGGAUUAGCUAGUUGGUGGGGUAAAGGCCUACCAAGGCGACGAUCCGUAACUGGUCUGAGAGGAUGAUCAGUCGCACUGGAACUGAGACACGGUCCAGACUCCUACGGGAGGCAGCAGUGGGGAAUAUUGGACAAAGGGCGAAAGCCUGAUCCAGCCAUGCCGCGUGUGUGAAGAAGGUCUUCGGAUUGUAAAGCACUUUAAGUUGGGAGGAAGGGCAGUAAGUUAAUACCUUGCUGUUUUGACGGUACCAACAGAAUAAGCACCGGCUAACUUCGUG